UACGUAGGGUGCGAGCGUUGUCCGGAAUUAUUGGGCGUAAAGAGCUCGUAGGCGGUGUGUCACGUCGGCCGUGAAAACCUGCAGCUUAACUGUGGGCGUGCGGUCGAUACGGGCAUCACUGGAGUUCGGCAGGGGAGACUGGAAUUCCUGGUGUAGCGGUGAAAUGCGCAGAUAUCAGGAGGAACACCAGUGGCGAAGGCGAUCAUCUGGGGUUGUUCUGACGCUGAGGAGCGAAAGCUAGGGGAGCAAACGGGG
rnacentral:rRNA from 1 species